CUCUGAGCUGGCACGGUGGGGACAGGAGGAGGGAGAGGUGAGAGCCGCUGCGAAGGGAAGAUGGACGCUUGCCAUGGAAGAGCAGCGGGCUGGGUGCCUCCUGGGUGCCCGCAGGCUCACGGGGCCAAAACUCACAAACAAAAACCACAGAAAAUCGCCGGCAGCCCGUCCUGGGGAGGCGGCAGCCGCUUGGCAGCGGAGCCAUGGAGAACCGGGCUGGGAGCAGGUGGACAGUGGCGACCAGCGCGGCACAGGUCUCCCUGGAGCCAAGUGGAACCCCUGACCUGUGCUGUGAUGAAGCCGCUACUGGGUGACCCUUCCACCACGCUGUGGAGCUGGGCCGGGGCCACUGCUGGAGGCCCGCAGAAGCACUACUCAGAUGCCCCAUGGGCCAGAGCCCCCUGGACUCCAAGGCUUGAGUCUGAGGGAGGCCAAUCUUCUCAGCCUCUUCAGGGUCCAGAAGGGUUGAAGGAGAACCAGCGAUAAUGUAAUGAAUCUCAGGAUGGGCAGACAUGGCUCCCAAGAGGACAGAGCAGGAGCAGGAGCCUGCAGGCAUGAGCCCUGAGUCUGCAGUGCACCGUAUGGUGUUUGAAGAGGCUCACAACCCCGGGGGGGGGGCACAGAUAUCACUGACAACGUGGGAUGAGCGACUGUUCUUCGGAGGGUGAUCAUGGAGGGCUUCCUGGAUGAGGAUGAGGACACGCCUGGGAAACACAAGGGCUGAAGGACCCAGGCCGAUGGAGGGUUUGCGUCCAGGUGGAUGGGACAACACUCCAACUAAUUGAGAGACCCAGUCAGGAUGGAAAUCACUUAUUCGUUCCUCUACUUCUCCCAUCUCACCUUAGUCUCAGAGAUUUUUGAGGGCAAAGUAUUUUAUCUCUAGCGCUAGAGCCUC